GAUGAACGCUGGCGGCGUGCUUAACACAUGCAAGUCGAACGGAAAGGCUCCUGCUUGCAGGGGUACUCGAGUGGCGAACGGGUGAGUAACACGUGGGUGAUCUGCCCUGCACUUCGGGAUAAGCCUGGGAAACUGGGUCUAAUACCGGAUAGGACCACAUUCUGGAUGGUGUGGUGGAAAGUUUUUCGGUGUGGGAUGAGCUCGCGGCCUAUCAGCUUGUUGGUGGGGUAAUGGCCUACCAAGGCGUCGACGGGUAGCCGGCCUGAGAGGGUGUACGGCCACAUUGGGACUGAGAUACGGCCCAGACUCCUACGGGAGGCAGCAGUGGGGAAUAUUGCACAAUGGGCGGAAGCCUGAUGCAGCGACGCCGCGUGGGGGAUGACGGCCUUCGGGUUGUAAACUCCUUUCGCUAGGGACGAAGCGCAAGUGACGGUACCUGGAGAAGAAGCACCGGCUAACUACGUG
rnacentral:rRNA from 1 species